rnacentral:rRNA from 1 species
GAUGAACGCUGGCGGCGUGCUUAACACAUGCAAGUCGAACGGUGAACACGGAGCUUGCUCUGUGGGAUCAGUGGCGAACGGGUGAGUAACACGUGAGCAACCUGCCCCUGACUCUGGGAUAAGCGCUGGAAACGGCGUCUAAUACUGGAUAUGUGACGUGAUCGCAUGGUCUGCGUCUGGAAAGAAUUUCGGUUGGGGAUGGGCUCGCGGCCUAUCAGCUUGUUGGUGAGGUAAUGGCUCACCAAGGCGUCGACGGGUAGCCGGCCUGAGGGGGUGACCGGCCACACUGGGACUGAGACACGGCCCAGACUCCUACGGGAGGCAGCAGUGGGGAAUAUUGCACAAUGGGCGCAAGCCUGAUGCAGCAACGCCGCGUGAGGGAUGACGGCCUUCGGGUUGUAAACCUCUUUUAGCAGGGAAGAAGCGAAAGUGACGGUACCUGCAGAAAAAGCGCCGGCUAACUACGUG